rnacentral:rRNA from 1 species
GACGAACGCUGGCGGCGUGCUUAACACAUGCAAGUCGAACGGAAAGGCCCUGCUUUUGUGGGGUGCUCGAGUGGCGAACGGGUGAGUAACACGUGAGUAACCUGCCCUUGACUUUGGGAUAACUUCAGGAAACUGGGGCUAAUACCGGAUAGGAGCUCCUGCUGCAUGGUGGGGGUUGGAAAGUUUCGGCGGUUGGGGAUGGACUCGCGGCUUAUCAGCUUGUUGGUGGGGUAGUGGCUUACCAAGGCUUUGACGGGUAGCCGGCCUGAGAGGGUGACCGGCCACAUUAGGACUAAGAUACGGACCAGACUCCUACGGGAGGCAACAGUGGGAAAUAUUGCACAAUGGGCCGAAGCCUGAUGCAACAACGCCGCGUUCGGAAUGACGGCCUUCGGGUUGUAAACCGCUUUCGCCUGUGACGAAGCGUGAGUGACGGUAAUGGGUAAAGAAGCACCGGCUAACUACGUG